UCUAUGGCGAGUUUGAUCCUGGCUCAGAGCGAACGCUGGCGGCGUACUUAACACAUGCAAGUCGAACGAGGAUCGUCGGGUUAGCAAUAAUUCGACGGUCCUAGUGGCGUACGGGUGAGUAACACGUGGGUAACCUGCCCUUGAGUCCGGGAUACCCUCUCGAAAGGGAGGCUAAUACUGGAUACGUUCCCUGGGGCGCAAGACCUGGGGAGGAAAGGUGGCGAAAGCUGCCGCUUUUGGAGGGGCUCGCGGCCUAUCAGCUAGUUGGUGAGGUAACGGCUCACCAAGGCUAUGACGGGUAGCUGGUCUGAGAGGACGACCAGCCACACGGGAACUGAGACACGGUCCCGACUCCUACGG
rnacentral:rRNA from 1 species